CCAGGCCCCAAACAAGAAGAACUCUGUCUGUCUCCUCCUCUUUAACUUUAUUUCAUCAAUUAGCUCUUUAAAAAAAAGCAGUUAGGGAGAGAGAGAGAGUCUUAGUCAACUACAGAAACUUUUAAAGGGGUGGGCUUUCAAAAAGAGGGCUCUCUUCUUCUUCUUCAGAACUGAGGGAGGCAAGACUUCCAAAGGGCAGGCUAAGCAUACAUGCCCAGCUCUCUCACAUGGAAGAUGGAGCAAGCUUGUUCUCUCCUACUCCAGAUGCUAGGACCCGAACCGAUGAAUUUAAGUUACAAGAAAUGAGAUUCCAACUCAACAUAAGGAAGAGCUUUCUGAAGACACUUAUUUCAAAACUAUACUGCCCUGGACCUCUGCUGAGAUCUCCCCUGUCUUGGAACUCGAGAGAGGGCCAUUUAAUUAACACCUUCCUAGGACAGAAGAGCUGACUAGUCCCGAAGCCUUUGGCCAGAAGAGACCGAGCGAUUUACAAGGUUCAGGCUUUUAUUGUGGAGCAACCCCAUUGACUUCUAUGAGACUACUUGGAAGUGUGGUCCUUCAGAUGUUGGAACAUAGGAAGACGCCUUGUACUCAGUAUGUUCAUUGGUCCACUUGCUCAGCAAUGUCAACACUGACUGCUAGUGGCUCUCUGAAAUUUCAAGACAAUCUCUCCCAGUUGAUGCCGGGGACUGAACCUGGGACGUUCUGCAUGGAAAGCAGUUUGCACUUCCACUGAGCAAUGGCCUUCCUCUUGCCCUCCUCAUCCCUAACCAUUGGGCAUGCUGGCUGGGGCUCAUGGGAGGUGGGGUUCAACAACAUCUGGAAGGCCACAGGUUGCCUACCCCCAGCCCUGUUAAAUAACAUUGUACACAUCCCCCUUGUCCUCUGUUCUACAAAGAAACAAUUAUGCUGUUUCCGUAUUGGAACAGAUUUUGAAUGUCAGGCUCUUGUAGCCAAAUAGAAAUGUCAGGACCUCAACACGUCUCCCGUGUGUAGCGGCUAAUUUAAUCAGCAUUCCAAGAUGUGAUUUCGAUUCAAUCAUUUUGCUGGAGUGGCUGGGCUUAUGAGGAGUGUGUCCAGCAAAAAGGAGAUCAGUUAGAUAUUAUUAAGCGCCGCAUGUUUCUUACCGGAGAGAAAAAGGGGAGAGAGACGGGGGAUGGGGAAAGAACAUCUUGGAUGGGAUCUGCACGGUUACGAAAGCUCACCCUGGGCUUGCUGAACGGGGAAGCUUAAUUCUGGACUAAGUUGUUUCCAUCAAACUUGGGGGAAAAGGGGGGAAGGACGCAUUUUGUAAUGGGAAAGUGGGAAGCAAGGGAGAGGUUCUUAACUUUCUCCUCCAUCCGCCAUGUGCCUCUGUAUUAUUUCCCCAGUCAUUUGCCCCCCAACUGCACCAGUGAGGUAUGAACAUUAGAAGAGCUCUGCUGGAUCAGGCCAAUGGACCAUUUAGACCAGCCUCAUGCUCUCACAGUGGCCAAACA